rnacentral:rRNA from 1 species
AUUGAACGCUGGCGGCAGGCCUAACACAUGCAAGUCGAGCGGAGCGGAGGACGGGUGAGUAAUGCCUAGGAAUCUGCCUGGUAGUGGGGGAUAACGUCCGGAAACGGGCGCUAAUACCGCAUACUAUCAGAUGAGCCUAGGUCGGAUUAGCUAGUUGGUGGGGUAAAGGCCUACCAAGGCGACGAUCCGUAACUGGUCUUAGAGGAUGGUCAGUCCAACUUGAACUUAGACACGGUCCAGACUCCUACGGGAGGCAGCCGUGGGGAAUCUUUGACAAGUGGGGAAAUCCUGAUCCAGCCCUGCCGGCUGUGUGAAGAAGGUCUUCGGAUUGUAAAGCACUUUAAGUUUGGAGGCGUUACCAACAGAAUAAGCACCGGCUAACUUCGUGCCAGCAGCCGCGGUAAUUC